GUUGUUGCUGACUCCCUCAAGUGGGGAGGUGUAUGUGCACACUUGUCAUCUUUAUUUCUCCAACUGUGCACAUAUUGUAGACCUGGGAAGUCAUUGAUUCAUUUCGAGUUGGGACUGCUGUUCUUCAUUGAAUUGAAGUCAGCUUUUGCCUUGCAUUUCCUCAGGUCUAUGUUUUUUCACAACCUCUUGUCAUGUCUAGAAUGUUGAAUCAGGUCCUUUUGUACCUAUAAAGUUAAAUAUACAACUUUCAGCAACGGAUCUCUUGGCUCUCGCAUCGAUGAAGAACGCAGCGAAAUGCGAUAAGUAAUGUGAAUUGCAGAAUUCAGUGAAUCAUCGAAUCUUUGAACGCACCUUGCGCUCCCUGGUAUUCCUAGGAGCAUGCCUGUUUGAGUGUCAUUUAAGUUCUCAACCGCACUUUUUUGUGUGGCUUGGAUGUGGAGGUUUUCUGCAGGCUUUUUCAUCAUUAUAUGAAGGUCGGCUCCUCUGAAAUGCAUUAGUGGUAUCUGAGCAGAGAAAAACCCUGGUGUGAUAAUUUAUCUAUGCCA
rnacentral:rRNA from 1 species